rnacentral:lncRNA from 1 species
CUUCGUGGGCGGAGCCUCCUUCGUGUCCCGGGUCCGGGCGCCUAGCUCCCCCAGCACCAGGCAGGAAGCGGCGGCCCCGCGGACCUCGGACCGCUCAGCCUCUCCCAGGCCCACAGCCCCGAAUCGAGCCCCCGGCCCGGGGCGUCCUCGAGAG